UCACAUCCUUUCCUUGAAAGGAUAUGAAGACUAAAGAAGCAAGGAAAGCUAUGGUUAGCUCCAAUUCUCAGAAUAAAAAUGUAAUGUUGUGGCAUCAAAGAUUAGGCCACCCCAGUUUUGAUUAUAUGAAGCAUGUGUUUCCAACUUUAUUCAAUAAAAAUUCUUCACCUUUCCAAUGUGAAACUUGUCAAAUUGCCAAACAAACUCGUGCGUCUUAUCCCAAACAUAUUUACAAACCCACUACACCGUUUACGAUGAUCCAUACAGACAUUUGGGGACCAGCCAAAACUAAAACCCG